AUGGAUGAUGCUAGCUGACCUUACAGCCAAGUGAGCAAAACCGAAGGGCAUCCAAGAGGCUCCUUCCACAUAUUUCACAAAUGUGAGAAACCGCUUUUCCAGAUUUAGGCUGAGGCCUUUCGUUUAGAAACAAUACUCUUGCACUGUUUAUGACGUAAGUUUGCACCCCGCCGAUGUUCAACGCUUUUUCGAUCUCUGAAACUCUCACCACAUCGUGAUACGACGAUCUCCGAAUCUGCACUUUCAUCCGUUAAGUUUUCAUUAUCAAAUCCUCCUUCCUUCCUUGGUCAUUAUACCAUUAAUAUGUCCGUCCGUCCGUCCGUCCGUCCGUCCGGGUUAUUCUUGAUUUUUGUUAAUAAAUAAAUACAUUGCAGUUUUUUUCUAUAUAAAAAAAAAUGUAUGUUACAAGUACCUGAAUGACUUGAUGAUCCUUAUGGCGUGAAGAUCGACAAUAGAAGCAGAAGGCAUCGCAAUUGCAAUCCAAGCAAUACAUAUUGCACUCACUUCUGGCGGCGGCUCCGUGUGUCCGGCACACGGAGAAGAAUGCCGUUCCAAGAAGCUUCUCUAGCCAUGGCGGCACCUGUUGCUGCUGCAUUGCAUUGCAUUCACCAAUAACACACACACAAAAUAAACAAAAACACGUACAAAAUCUAUAUAUAGCACUGAAGAAUUUACCAUUGCAAAUAAUGUGCAGCCUUGGGAAUUGAAUUGAACUCCAGCAGAGAGAUUCUUGAGAGAGAGAAAGCUUGUACAGAGAGAAAGGAAGGUAGAGAGAGAGAGAAUUCAUCAACAUAAUAACGCCUGACCUGAGCUUAGGGACAAAAGCUAGCAUUGUUAAAAAGGAACAAAUAUUAUUCUGGUCCUAAUACUACACUUAAAACCACGUUCGGUCCCUCUAAUAUCAUUUUCAACCUUUUGCCCCUACAACUGCCUGCAUAUUUCUUUAAAAUUCUUUAUAAUUUGCAAACACUUUGUUAACCAUUCGUUCGGCUGAAAGUUCAAUAAAUGAACGGACAUGAACAACAAAUUCGUUCGUUUAGUUAGAAAACAAACAUGAACAGAUGAUGCGUUCGUUCAUUAUGUUUGUGAACGUUCGGUAAUAUGUUUAUGUUUGUUUGUAUUCAUUAAUUCAUUAGUGUUUUUAGUUUUUAUAUUGUAUUUUAAUACUUCAAAUU
rnacentral:lncRNA from 1 species